AUUGAACGCUGGCGGCAGGCCUAACACAUGCAAGUCGAACGAGUGGCGGACGGGUGAGUAAUGUAUGGGAACGUGCCUGAUAGAGGGGGAUAACUACUGGAAACGGUAGCUAAUACCGCAUACCAUCGGAUGUGCCCAGAUGGGAUUAGCUAGUUGGUGGGGUAAAGGCUCACCAAGGCGACGAUCCCUAGCUGGUCUGAGAGGAUGACCAGCCACACUGGAACUGAGACACGGUCCAGACUCCUACGGGAGGCAGCAGUGGGGAAUAUUGCACAAUGGGCGCAAGCCUGAUGCAGCCAUGCCGCGUGUAUGAAGAAGGCCUUCGGGUUGUAAAGUACUUUCAGCGGGGAGGCGUUACCCACAGAAGAAGCACCGGCUAACUCCGUGCCAGCAGCCGCGGUAAUUC
rnacentral:rRNA from 1 species